rnacentral:rRNA from 1 species
CCCUACGGGGCGCAGCAGUCGCGGAAACUCCGCAAUACACGAAAGUGUGACGGGGCUAUCCCGAGUGCCGUCCGCUGAGGAUGGCUUUUCCCUAGUGUAUAAAGCUGGGGGAAUAAGGAGAGGGCAAGACUGGUGUCAGCCGCCGCGGUAAUACCAGCUCUCCGAGUGGUGGGGACAUUUAUUGGGCCUAAAGCAUUCGUAGCCUGUUGGGCAAGUCCUCCGUUAAAUCCAACGAUUCAAUCGUUGGGCUGCGGGGGAUACUGUCCGGCUAGGGGGCGGGAGAGGCCGACGGUAUUCUCGGGGUAGGGGUGGAAUCCUAUAAUCCCGGGAGGACCACCAGUGGCGAAGGCUGUCGGCUAGAACGCGCUCGACGGUGAGGGAUGAAAGCUGGGGGAGCGAACCGGAUUAGAUACCCGGGUAGUCCCAGCUGUAAACGAUGCAGGCUAGGUGUUGACGCGGCUACGUGCCGCUUCGGUGCCGCAGGGAAGCCGUUAAGCCUGCCGCCUGGGAAGUACGUCCGCAAGGCUGAAACUUAAAGGAAUUGGCGGGGGAGCAC